UACGUAGGGUGCAGGCGUUAAUCGGAAUUACUGGGCGUAAAGCGUGCGCAGGCGGUUUCUUAAGUCAGAUGUGAAAGCCCCGGGCUUAACCUGGGAACUGCGUUUGAAACUGGGAGACUUGAGUGUGGCAGAGGGGGGUGGAAUUCCACGUGUAGCAGUGAAAUGCGUAGAUAUGUGGAGGAACACCGAUGGCGAAGGCAGCAUCCUGGACCAUUACUGACACUGAAAAGCGAAAGCCAGGGGAGCAAACGGG
rnacentral:rRNA from 1 species